rnacentral:rRNA from 1 species
AUUGAACGCUGGCGGCAUGCCUUACACAUGCAAGUCGAACGGUAACAGGUCUUCGGAUGCUGACGAGUGGCGAACGGGUGAGUAAUACAUCGGAACGUGCCCGAUCGUGGGGGAUAACGCAGCGAAAGCUGUGCUAAUACCGCAUACGAUCUACGGAUGAAAGCGGGGGAUCGCAAGACCUCGCGCGGACGGAGCGGCCGAUGGCAGAUUAGGUAGUUGGUGGGAUAAAAGCUUACCAAGCCGACGAUCUGUAGCUGGUCUGAGAGGACGACCAGCCACACUGGGACUGAGACACGGCCCAGACUCCUACGGGAGGCAGCAGUGGGGAAUUUUGGACAAUGGGCGCAAGCCUGAUCCAGCCAUGCCGCGUGCAGGAUGAAGG